rnacentral:rRNA from 1 species
UACGUAGGGGGCCAGCGUUGUUCGGAAUUACUGGGUGUAAAGGGUUCGUAGGCGGUGUAGCAAGUCGGGAGUGAAAUCUUUGGGCUUAACCCAGAGGCUGCUUCCGAAACUGCUGUGCUUGAGUGUGGGAGAGGCGCGUGGAAUUGCAGGUGUAGCGGUGAAAUGCGUAGAUAUCUGCAGGAACACCCGUGGCGAAAGCGGCGCGCUGGACCACUACUGACGCUGAGGAACGAAAGCUAGGGGAGCAAACAGG